rnacentral:rRNA from 1 species
AACGAACGCUGGCGGCAGGCUUAACACAUGCAAGUCGAACGGAUCCUUCGGGAUUAGUGGCAGACGGGUGAGUAACGCGUGGGAACGUACCCUUUGCUACGGAAUAACUCAGGGAAACUUGAGCUAAUACCGUAUGUGCCCUACGGGGGAAAGAUUUAUCGGCACAGGAUCGGCCCGCGUUGGAUUAGCUAGUUGUUGGGGUAAUGGCCUACCAAGGCGACGAUCCAUAGCUGGUCUGAGAGGAAGGUCAGCCACACUGGGACUGAGACACGGCCCAGACUCCUACGGGAGGCAGCAGUGGGGAAUAUAGGAAAGUGGGCGCAAGGCUGAACCAGCCAUGCCGCGUGAGUGAUGAAGGUCUUAGGGUUGUAAAGCUCUUUCACCGGUGAAGAUAAUGACGGUAGCCAGAGAAGAAGCCCCGGCUAACUUCGUG